ACCCGCUGAACUUAAGCAUAUCAAUAAGCGGAGGAAAAGAAACCAACAGGGAUUGCCUUAGUAACGGCGAGUGAAGCGGCAACAGCUCAAAUUUGAAAUCUGGUCCUUCCGGGGCCCGAGUUGUAAUUUGUAGAGGAUGUUUCGGGCGCGGCGCCGGUCUAAGUCCCUUGGAACGGGGCGUCAUAGAGGGUGAGAAUCCCGUAUGCGACCGGUGACUAAGCCCAUGUGAAACUCCUUCGACGAGUCGAGUUGUUUGGGAAUGCAGCUCAAAAUGGGUGGUAAAUUUCAUCUAAAGCUAAAUACCGGCCAGAGACCGAUAGCGCACAAGUAGAGUGAUCGAAAGAUGAAAAGCACUUUGGAAAGAGAGUCAAAAAGUACGUGAAAUUGUUGAAAGGGAAGCGCUUGCAACCAGACCUGCCCGCGGGCGAUCAACCGUCCUUCUGGGCGGUGCACUCGCCCGCGAUCAGGCCAGCAUCGGCUCGGGCGGCCGGAUAAAGGCCCUGGGAAUGUAGCUCCUUUCGGGGAGUGUUAUAGCCCAAGGCGCAAUGCGGCCAGCCCGGACCGAGGACCGCGCUUCGGCAAGGAUGCUGGCGUAAUGGUUGUAAGCGGCCCGUCUUGAAACACGGACCAAGGAGUCUAACAUCUAUGCGAGUGUUUGGGUGGAA
rnacentral:rRNA from 1 species